AAAGAUUAAGCCAUGCAUGUCUAAGUAUAAACAAAUUUAUACAGUGAAACUGCGAAUGGCUCAUUAAAUCAGUUAUAAUUUAUUUGAUAUUCACUUACUACUUGGAUAACCGUGGUAAUUCUAGAGCUAAUACAUGCGUACAUAACCUCGACUUCUGGAAGAGGUGCACUUAUUAGAUAAAAAGCCAACGCGGGCAACCGCUUGUAUGGUGAUUCAUAAUAAUUAAUCGAAUCGCAUGGCCUUGUGCCGGCGAUGAUGCAUUCAAAUUUCUGCCCUAUCAAGUUUCGAUGGUAGGUUAGUGGCCUACCAUGCUUUUAACGGGUAACGGGGAAUUAGGGUUCGAUUCCGGAGAGGGAGCCUGAGAAACGGCUACCACAUCCAAGGAAGGCAGCAGGCGCGCAAAUUACCCAAUCCCGACACGGGGAGGUAGUGACAAUAAAUAACAAUACAGGGCCUUUACGGGUCUUGUAAUUGGAAUGAGUACAAUUUAAAUCCCUUAACGAGGAACAAUUGGAGGGCAAGUCUGGUGCCAGCAGCCGCGGUAAUUCCAGCUCCAAUAGCGUAUAUUAAAGUUGUUGCAGUUAAAAAGCUCGUAGUUGAAUUUUGGCCUUCGCCUGUGGGGUUCGGUCUUCAUUGAUCGGUACCUCAACGGGCGGGGCUCCACCUUCUGGGUUAGCCAGUCGUCAUUUCGGUGGCGGCUGGUGAACCAGAACUUUUACUUUGAAAAAAUUGGAGUGUUUAAAGCAGGCUUUCAAGCCUGAACAUAUUAGCAUGGAAUAAUGAAAUAGGACUUUGGCCUUAUUUCGUUGGUUUCUAAAGCCAAAGUAAUGAUGAAUAGGGAUAGUUGGGGACAUUAGUAUUCAAUUGUCAGAGGUGAAAUUCUUGGAUUUAUUGAAGACUAACUUCUGCGAAAGCAUUUGUCAAGGAUGUUUUCAUUAAUCAAGAACGAAAGUUAGGGGAUCGAAGACGAUCAGAUACCGUCGUAGUCUUAACCAUAAACUAUGCCGACUAAGGAUCGGAUGGUGUUAUAUUUUAUAUUGACCCAUUCGGCAUUUCAGCGAAAGCCAAGUUUUUGGGUUCCGGGGGGAGUAUGGUCGCAAGGCUGAAACUUAAAGGAAUUGACGGAAGGGCACCACCAGGAGUGGAGCCUGCGGCU
rnacentral:rRNA from 1 species